rnacentral:rRNA from 1 species
CUAGGUGGCUGCAGUGGGGAAUAUUGGACAAUGGGCGAAAGCCUGAUCCAGCCAUGCCGCGUGUGUGAAGAAGGCCUUCGGGUUGUAAAGCACUUUCAGUGGGGAAGAAAGCCUUGGGGCUAAUACCCUCGAGGAAGGACAUCACCCACAGAAGAAGCACCGGCUAACUCCGUGCCAGCAGCCGCGGUAAUACGGAGGGUGCGAGCGUUAAUCGGAAUUACUGGGCGUAAAGCGCGCGUAGGCGGUCUGAUAAGCCGGUUGUGAAAGCCCCGGGCUCAACCUGGGAACGGCAUCCGGAACUGUCAGGCUAGAGUGCAGGAGAGGAAGGUAGAAUUCCCGGUGUAGCGGUGAAAUGCGUAGAGAUCGGGAGGAAUACCAGUUGCGAAGGCGGCCUUCUGGACUGACACUGACGCUGAGGUGCGAUAGCGUGGGUAGCAAACAGGAUUAGAUACCCGAGUAGUC